rnacentral:hammerhead_ribozyme from 1 species
AUCCAGUUGAUGAAUCUCAAAUAGGAAGAAACGCAUGUCCUGGAU